AACAUCCUGAAGCAGGGUAUUGAAACCCCAGAGGACCAGAAUGACCUAAGGAAAAUGCAGCUUCGAGAGUUAGCUCGCUUGAAUGGCACUCUACGGGAAGAUGAUAACAGGAUCUUGAGACCCUGGCAGAGCUCAGAGACACGAAGCAUUACCAACACGACUGUGUGUACUAAGUGUGGAGGGGCUGGUCACAUUGCCUCUGAUUGCAAAUUUCAGAGGCCUGGUGACCCUCAAUCAGCUCAGGAUAAAGCACGGAUGGAUAAAGAGUAUUUGUCCCUUAUGGCUGAGCUAGGGGAAGCUCCUGUCCCUGCAUCUGUGGGCUCCACCUCUGGACCUGCCACCACACCCCUGGCCAGUGCACCAAGGCCUGCUGCUCCUGCCAGCAACCCACCACCACCGAGUCGCCCACCCUGGAUGAAUUCUGGUCCUUCAGAGAAUCGGCCCUACCAUGGCAUGCAUGGAGGUGGUCCUGGUGGGCCUGGAGGUGGCCCCCACAGUUUCCCACACCCAUUACCCAGCCUGACAGGUGGGCAUGGUGGACAUCCCAUGCAGCACAACCCAAAUGGACCACCACCACCUUGGAUGCAGCCACCACCACCACCGAUGAACCAGGGCCCCCACCCACCUGGGCACCAUGGCCCUCCUCCAAUGGGUAUGAUGCCGCCGCCGCCUAUGGGCAUGAUGCCGCCGCCUCCGCCAC
rnacentral:lncRNA from 1 species